GUAGCCCGGGAUGUCGCUGUCCUCUUCCGGCGGGCAGUGGAUCCGAUCUCCCCGCCGGGAACAUCGCUCGUAUGCCGAGUCCACCUCUUCCGUCGUGUCGACCUCGAACGCCAGGUGCUUGAGCCCGACGCCGUAGUAGCGAUGGGUGCCGCCGUCGGCGGGACGGAGGCCGAGCCAUUCGUCUCCGUAGCUCAGAUAGACGACUUCCUCGGUGCCUCGGUAGGUCAGAUAGCGCUCUUCCUCCUUUAAGCCCAGCGGGCCCAAGAGGUCCAAGUAGAAGUCGAGCGAGCGAUCGACAUCGCCGACGGCGAGGUCGACGUGCUGAAUUCCGCGGCCCGGCAUCGGCGGGUCGAGUGGCUCACGGCCAGCGC
rnacentral:misc_RNA from 1 species